rnacentral:rRNA from 1 species
UACGUAGGGUCCGAGCGUUGUCCGGAAUUAUUGGGCGUAAAGGGCUCGUAGGCGGUUUGUCGCGUCGGGAGUGAAAACACGGGGCUUAACCCCGUGCCUGCUUCCGAUACGGGCAGACUAGAGGUAUGCAGGGGAGAACGGAAUUCCUGGUGUAGCGGUGAAAUGCGCAGAUAUCAGGAAGAACACCCGUGGCGAAGGCGGUUCUCUGGGCGUACUGACGCUGAGACGACGAAGCGUGGGGAGCGAACAGG